rnacentral:rRNA from 1 species
AUUGAACGCUGGCGGCAGGCUUAACACAUGCAAGUCGAGCGGAGAUGAGGUGCUUGCACCUUAUCUUAGCGGCGGACGGGUGAGUAAUGCUUAGGGAUCUGCCUAUUAGUGGGGGACAACAUUCCGAAAGGAAUGCUAAUACCGCAUACGUCCUACGGGAGAAAGCAGGGGAUCUUCGGACCUUGCGCUAAUAGAUGAGCCUAAGUCGGAUUAGCUAGUUGGUGGGGGUAAAGGCCUACCAAGGCGACGAUCUGGAGCGGGUCUGAGAGGAUGAUCCGCCACACUGGGACUGAGACACGGCCCAGACUCCUACGGGAGGCAGCAGUGGGGAAUAUUGGACAAUGGGGGGAACCCUGAUCCAGCCAUGCCGCGUGUGUGAAGAAGGCCUUAUGGUUGUAAAGCACUUUAAGCGAGGAGGAGGCUACUGAGACUAAUACUCUUGGAUAGUGGACGUUACUCGCAGAAUAAGCACCGGCUAACUCUGUGCCAGCCGCCGCCGUAA